CCCUUAGAUGUUCUGGGCCGCACGCGCGCUACACUGAUGCAUUCAACGAGUUUCUUCCUGGUCCGAGAGGAAUGGGUAACCUUUUGAAAGUGUAUCGUGAUAGGGAUAGACUAUUGCAAUUAUUGGUCUUCAACGAGGAAUUCCUAGUAGACGUAGUUCAUCAGACUGCAUCGAUUACGUCCCUGCCCUUUGUACGCACCGCCCGUCGCUCCUACCGAUUGAAUGCUCAGGUGAGCCAUUCGGACUUUCAUCAUGCUGGUUUCCAGUUUUGAUGAAGGAAAGUCUUGCGAACCUUAUCAUUUAGAGGAAGGAGAAGUCGUAACA
rnacentral:rRNA from 1 species